GUGCUCACUUCGGCAGCACAUAUACUAAAAUUGGAACGAUACAGAGAAGAUUAGCAUGGCCCCUGCACAAGGAUGAUACACAAAUUCAUGAAGCGUUCCAUAAAAAA
rnacentral:snRNA from 1 species